rnacentral:tRNA from 1 species
CAUACCCUAGUGGGUAAAGCAGUGCCUCUGCAACUGCAUGGUCCUGGGUUCAAACCCCAA